GGGCUUGACAUCCCACGAACCUGAGGGAAACUUCGGGGUGCCCGCAAGGGAGCGGUAAGACAGGUGUUGCAUGGCUGUCGUCAGCUCGUGUCGUGAGAUGUUGGGUUAAGUCCCGCAACGAGCGCAACCCUCACCCCUUGUUGCUACCAGGUAAAGCUGGGCACUCUAGAGGAACUGCCCCGGUCAACGGGGAGGAAGGCGGGGAUGACGUCAAGUCAUCAUGCCCCUUACGUCCUGGGCUACACACGUGCUACAAUGGCCGGUACAAAGGGAUGCCACACCGCGAGGUAGAGCUAAACCCAAAAAGCCGGUCUAAGUUCAGAUUGGAGUCUGCAACUCGACUCCAUGAAGGAGGAAUCGCUAGUAAUCGCGUAUCAGCACGACGCGGUGAAUACGUUCCCGGGCCUUGUACACACCGCCCGUCACACCACGAAAGCCAGCUGUACUCGAAGUCGCUGAG
rnacentral:rRNA from 1 species